UAGCAAUUAGUAUAACAUAAUACCUCUAAUUUCGGCUUAGAAAACCCUGGCCCCAGCCAGGAUCGCUAA
rnacentral:tRNA from 1 species